rnacentral:tRNA from 1 species
GUUGCUUUGGCGGAAUAGCGCUUUUGGUUUAGGACCUUAGAAAGAUUGUUAGUCAAGUAAUA